CAUAUCUGUUAAAUAAUAAGAAUAUCAAAAUUAUUGUUUUGUUUUAGUUUUGCAAUUAAAUUCAUUUCAAUAAUACCUGUUGUUGUAGAAUAUUUUGUGUUGUAUUUUUAGGUGCAUGAUUUUUGUUACUUCCUGACCCAAAGGACCACGAGUGCUUCUUCCAUGAUACGGCGAAUUCUAGUUCGAAUUUAUAUUGUACGAUUGAUGAGCGAUUGCCGUUGUAUGUGUUGAAGAACUGCUGGUAGGAUUCCCCGUGGGAACUUAAGAUGAUAUUGAAAACACAAAUCUUCUUCUGCUUACGCGGUUAUAGCCGAGUCCACAACAGCGCGCCACGCAUCUCUUCUUUUGGCAGUUUGGCGCCAAUUGGUAAUACCCAUUGGAGUGGAGGUCUCCCUCUUCAUCGGCUUCCACCAGCGGGUACUGCAUCGAAAACUUUCAGAGCUAGCCGCUGUCUUUUUAUUCGCUGGACUAUGCCUAUGUCGUCGAACAACAUAUACAGCUCAUCAUUUCAUCUUUUGCGGUAUUCGCCGUUGCUAAUGUUUAAGGGACCAUAAAUCUUCCGCAAAACCUUUCUCUCGAAAACUCCUAGUGCCGUCUCAUCGAAUGUUGACACCGUACACGCUUCUGCACCAUAAAGUAGGACGGAAAUGAUGAGGGACUUGAAGAGUUUAGUUUUUGCUCAACGAGAGAGGACUUUACUUUUCAAUUGCCUAUUCAGACUAUAAACACAAAUACUUUGCACAAAUGGAGGAUUACAAUAGCUACAACUUUUCUUAGGCAUGAUGAACAAGACAACAACAAAUCCCAUCGGACAUUUAAAUUAGCAGUUGCACAACCUAUUUCCGACGAGCUGAACCUUUUUAUGAUGUACAUAUGGGAUAGGAUUGUGUGGAAUUGAUAUCAAACAAUAUUGGUUCAUUAGUUUUGUUGGAUCCUUACAUGAUAGUUAUAAGGAAAUCGUUCGCAUUUAGUAUUAAUUUAUUCAUUUGCUAAUUCAUAAUUUAGAUGUAAAAUAUUAUUAAAUUAUACAAAUGAAUGUUCGAAUACUAAUAACAUUCGUAAUAGUAAUGGGAUUUUAUUUGAAUUGCAUAACAACA